AGAAACCAACAGGGAUUGCCCUAGUAACGGCGAGUGAAGCGGCAACAGCUCAAAUUUGAAAUCUGGCGUAAGCCCGAGUUGUAAUUUGUAGAGGAUGCUUCUGGGUAGCGGCCGGUCUAAGUUCCUUGGAACAGGACGUCAUAGAGGGUGAGAAUCCCGUAUGUGACUGGCUUGCACCCUCCACGUAGCUCCUUCGACGAGUCGAGUUGUUUGGGAAUGCAGCUCUAAAUGGGAGGUAAAUUUCUUCUAAAGCUAAAUACCGGCCAGAGACCGAUAGCGCACAAGUAGAGUGAUCGAAAGAUGAAAAGCACUUUGGAAAGAGAGUUAAAAAGCACGUGAAAUUGUUGAAAGGGAAGCGCCCGCAACCAGACUUUGCGGCGGUGUUCGGCCGGUCUUCUGACCGGUUUACUCGCCGCCGUGAGGCCAUCAUCGUCUGGGACCGCUGGAUAAGACCUGAGGAAUGUAGCUCCCUUCGGGGUGUGUUAUAGCCUCUGGUGAUGCAGCGCGUCUCGGGCGAGGUCCGCGCUUCGGCAAGGAUGAUGGCGUAAUGGUUGUCGGCGGCCCGUCUUGAAACACGGACCAAGGAGUCUAACAUCUAUGCGAGUGUUCGGGUGUCAAACCCCUACGCGUAAUGAAAGUGAACGGAGGUGGGAACUUUUUGUGCACCAUCGACCGAUCCUGAUGUCCUCGGAUGGAUUUGAGUAAGAGCAUAGCUGUUGGGACCCGAAAGAUGGUGAACUAUGCCUGAAUAGGGUGAAGCCAGAGGAAACUCUGGUGGAGGCUCGCAGCGGUUCUGACGUGCAAAUCGAUCGUCAAAUUUGGGUAUAGGGGCGAAAGACUAAUCGAACCA
rnacentral:rRNA from 1 species